rnacentral:misc_RNA from 1 species
UCAAUCACAAGAAAUUGCAAGAGCAGAUAAUUGAAGCUGAGGAGAAGUAUAGUUCACAGCUUGGCACUUUGAAUGAGUCUCUGCAAGCACAAGAUAUGAAACACAAGGAAUUAACUGAGGUGAAAGAAGCAUUUGAUGGUCUCAGCCUUGAGCUUGAGAACUCUAGAAAGAGUUUGCAAGAGUUGGAGCAAAAGCUCCAAUUUUCUGAAGUUGAGGCAAUGAGGUUUGAGGAGUUGCACAAACAAAGUG